UACGUAGGGGGCUAGCGUUGUCCGGAAUCAUUGGGCGUAAAGCGCUCGCAGGUGGUUCAUUGCGUCGUGCGUGAAAGACCCCGGCUCAACUGGGGAGGGUCGUGCGAAACGGGUGAACUAGAGGCCAGUAGGGGGAUGUGGAAUUCCGGGUGUAGUGGUGGAAUGCGUAGAGAUCCGGAGGAACACCAGCGGCGAAGGCGGCAUCCUGGACUGGUCCUGACACUCAGGAGCGAAAGCGUGGGGAGCGAGCCGG
rnacentral:rRNA from 1 species